rnacentral:tRNA from 1 species
UCCUUGGUGGCUCAGUGGGUUAAGAAUCUAGCAUUGUCACUGCUGUGGCAUGGGUUCGACCCCUGGCCGAGGAA